rnacentral:lncRNA from 1 species
ACAAAUGCAAGAGAUCUCAUUAAUGUUCUGGAAGACGCUAUUAGGGGUGGAUACCCAAUCUUGAUAAUUGCAGAAGAUAUUGAGCAGGAAGCUUUGGCAACACUGGUUGUGAAUAAGCUUAGAGGGUCAUUAAAGAUUGCUGCACUUAAAGCCCCUGGAUUUGGAGAGCGCAAGAGCCAGUACCUGGAUGACAUUGCAAUUCUGACUGGAGGUUAGCAUAGAUAACAUUUUCACUAUUUUUUUUUCUUCUUCUAAAUUUUAUUUUACUUGAGAGUUUUAUUCUAAUAUUCUGUCAUUAUUAUAUUUGCACAUUUUUUCUUUUAUUUACAUUUGUCUGUUAUUAUACUAUUGUUAAAAUUUAUUGCCCUUUUAAUAGUGGAUUAGUGGUCUUAUUUAUUUGGUUGUUUUCGGCUUCAUAUGUAUUCACAAUGCUGACAUUUUACUCUAAUGAGCUUGUAGGAACUGUAAUUAGAGAUGAGGUGGGGCUCACCCUAGACAAAGCUGAGAAGGAGGUUUUAGGCCAUGCUGCAAAGGUGGUGCUUACCAAGGAUACAACCACCAUUGUUGG